rnacentral:tRNA from 1 species
UUCCGGGUAGUUCAACGCCAGAACAACGGGCUUUGACCCCGUAAAUGCGCGUUCGAGCCGCGCCCCGGAAGCCA